rnacentral:lncRNA from 1 species
UAUGCCUGCCCGUACUAUAACCACAUCUGUGGUGUUGUAUGAAAAAACUGCACAUUUAUUGUCCCCAACACAUGGUUCACCUGUGUAAUGAUCAUGCUGUUUAAUCAGCUUCUUGAUAUGCCACACCUGUCAAGUGGAUGGAUUAUCUUGGCAAAGGGGAAAUGCUCACUAUCAGGGAUGUAAACCAAUUUGUGCACAACAUUUUAUUUGAGCUUACCGAAAAUAUCCGUCAUCUUUUAUUUCAGCUCAUGAAACAUGGGACCAACACUUUACAUGUUUGGCUGCUUUCGAAGUAUUUGACUCUGACGACAACUGUACCGAAGACUUUGACUCUCCAGCCCCAACCUCUAAGCCUGUGAGGGACCUUCUCCUCCAGCUGAUCUCCCUUCAGAAGGCCUCUGGUUCCUGGGUCCUGGAGGCAGCGUUGUCUGAGGUGCUGGCGAAGACUGAGGAGGAGGUGUCCAAGCCAAAGCCUGCACAGGUGGACCAGGAGGUGUGGGCCACGGUUCUAGCCCUGGUAUGGCUCUAUGGUUUCAAGAUGGAGGCUCAGGAGGAUUGGCAGUUUGUGGCCAUGAAGGCUGUUUCAUGGAUCCAGGCUCAGAAAGCGACCAGUGUUUCUGAGUGUGUUCAGGCUGGAAAUAACCUUCUGGGUUGCCAAGUGCAGAAAGACACCCUGGGGCUCUGACAUGUUCACCCUCCCAGUCCUCUCUCUGUCCCCCAUACACCUGCUACUCUACCUGGGGUGAGAUACACACAACCCUGCCUGCUCCUAGUCCCCUCCUCCAAGCAAACUGGUGGAGCUAGCAACUGUAUCCGCCUAAACAAGCCUAAUUAUCAACCUCUUGCCUAUAUUAGCCUAUUGUCAUUUACUGUUGGGACACUUAUGUAUCUCAAUGUAUUGGUUGUUAUUAACAUAUCAACAUUAAUCUACGUGUUACGUAUACAGCUAAACUUGUUUCGACUUUGCUUUGGUUAUCAAUUCCAUAUAGACUACUGGAUACAAUGUGUAUGCAGUACUUGUCAUCACUAACCAAAAUGAUAGCCUUAAUUUCUCCAAAUGCUUGGUAAAAUGCCUUAUUAUUGUAUGUAUGCAUUAUCCACGUAUAUGGGGCCAAAUGCAUGCAGGAAGGAGUUGUGGACAAUACGGAAAGCCAGAUGAGUGCCUAUCAUAGUACCUUUACUGUUUGAUCAUGUAACACUGUCUCUCUGUAUUCAUGAUAUUCCUCAUAUACACUACUGUUCAAAGGUUUGGGGUAACUUAAAUAUAUAUAUAUUUUUUUUAAAGAAAAGCACAUUUUUGUCCAUUAAAAUAACAUCAAAUUGAUCAGAAAUACAGUAUAGACAUUGUUAAUGUUGUAAAUGACUAUUGUAGCUGAAAACGGCUGAUUUUAUAUGGAAUAUCUACAUAGGUGUACAGAGGUCCAUUAUCAGCAACCAUCACUCCUGUGUUCCAUGGUACAUUGUGUUAGCUAAUCCAAGUUUAUCAUUUUAAAAGGAUAAUUGAUCAUUAGAAAACCCUUUUGCAAUUAUGUUAGCACAGCUGAAAACUGUUGUGCUGGCUGAAAACUGGCCUUCUUUAGAGUAGCUGAGUAUUUAAAAAACAAGGACAUUUCUAAGUGACCCCAAACUUUUGAACGGUAGUGUACACCACCGGUCAAAAGUUUGGACACACCUACUCAUUCAAGGGUUUUUCUUUAUUUUUACUAUUUUCUACAUUGUACAAUAAUAGUGAAGACAUCAAAACUAUGAAUUAACACAUGGAAUCAUCUAGUUACCAUAAGUGUUAAACAAAUCAAAAUGUGAGAUUCUUCAAAGUAGCCACCCUUUGCCUUGAUGACAACUUUGCACAUUCUUGGCAUUCUCUCAACCAGCUUCACCUGGAAUGCUUUUCCAACAGUCUUGAAGGACUUCCCACAUAUGCUGAGCACUUGUUGGCUGCUUUUCCUUCACUCUGCGGUCCGACUCAUCCCAAACCCUCUUAAUUUGGUUGAGGUCUGGGGAUUUUGGAGGCCAGGUCAUCUGAUGCAUCACUCUCCUCCUUUAAUAAAAUAGCCCUUACGCAGCCUGCCGGUCUGUUCGGUCAUUGUCCUGUUGAAAAACAAAUGAUAGUCCCACUAAGCCCAAACCAGAUGGGAUGGCGUAACCAGCAUUCUGCAGCGAUAAGUGUUUCUUAAAUUCUAAAUAAAUCACAGACAGUGUCACCAGCAAAGCACCCCCACAUCAUAACACCUCCUCCAUGCUUUACGGUGGGAAAUACACAUGCGGAGAUCAUCCAUUCACCCACACCGCGUCUCACAAAGCACAGCGGUUGGAACCAAAAAUCCAGACCAAAGGACAAAUUUCCACCGGUCUCAUGUCCAAUGCUCGUGUUUCUUGGCCCAGGCAAGUCUCUUCUUCUCAUUGGUGUUCUUUAGUAGUGAUUUCUUGGCAGCAAUGCGACCAUGAAGGCCCGAUUCACACAGUAUCCUCUGAACACUUAAUGUUGAGAUGUCUGUUACUUGAACUCUGUGAAGCAUUUAUUUGGGCUACAAUUUCUGAUAACUUUAAUGAACUUAUCCUCUGCAGCAGAAGUAACUCUGGGUCUUCCAUUCUUGUGGUGGUCCUCAUGAGAGCCAGUUUCAUCAUAGCCCUUGAUGUUUUUUUGCGACUGCACCCCCCCCCCACCUUGUCACAACACAACUGAUUGGCUCAAAUGCAUUAAGAAGGAAAGAAUUUCCACAAAUGAACUUUUAACAAGGCACACCUGUUCAUUGAAAUGCAUUCCAGGUGACUACCUCAUGAAGCUGGUUGAGAGAAUGUGAAGAGUGCAAAGCUGUCAUCAAGGCAAAGGGUGGCUACUUUGAAGAAUCUCAAAUAUAUUUUGAUUUGUGUAACACUUUUUUUGGUUACUACAUGAUUCCAUAUGUGUUAUUUCAUAGUUUUGAUGUCUUCACUAUUAUUCUACAAUGUAGAAAAUAGUCAAAAUAAAGAAAAACCAUGAAUGAGUAGUUGUACUAAAACCUUU